rnacentral:rRNA from 1 species
ACGAACGCUGGCGGUGUGCUUAACACAUGCCAGUCGAACGGAAAGGCCCUGCUUUUGUGGGGUGCUCGAGUGGCGAACGGGUGAGUAACACGUGAGUAACCUGCCCUUGACUUUGGGAUAACUUCAGGAAACUGGGGCUAAUACCGGAUAGGAGCUCCUGCUGCAUGGUGGGGGUUGGAAAGUUUCGGCGGUUGGGGAUGGACUCGCGGCUUAUCAGCUUGUUGGUGGGGUAGUGGCUUACCAAGGCUUUGACGGGUAGCCGGCCUGAGAGGGUGACCGGCCACAUUGGGACUGAGAUACGGCCCAGACUCCUACGGGAGGCAGCAGGGGGGAAUAUUGCACAAUGGGCGGAAGCCUGAUGCAGCAACGCCGCGUGCGGGAUGACGGCCUUCGGGUUGUAAACCGCUUUCGCCUGUGACGAAGCGUGAGUGACGGUAAUGGGUAAAGAAGCACCGGCUAACUACGUG